rnacentral:lncRNA from 1 species
GGGCUCCCGAGUGUGGGGAGGGCGGCUCAGCAGGAGCUGCUGCUUCCCAGAAAGUUGAUUAUUUUUAACCCAGGAAGAAGAAAGGAAGGAGGCGAGGGAGAAGGACUCAGAGAAAAGAGGAGAGGAAAAGAGAGGAGAGGAGAGGAAAGAAACGGAGUCUCACUCUGUCACCAGGCUGGAGUACAGUGGUGUGAUCUCGGCUCACUGCAACCUCCGCCUCCCAGGUUCAAGCGAUUCUCCUGCCUCAGCCUCUCAAGUAGCUGAGAUUACAGACGUGUGUCACCAUGCCCUGUUAAUUUUUGUUUGUUUGUUUUGUUUUUUGUUUUGUUUUGUUUCGUUUUUUGUUUUUUUUUUUUGAGACGGAGUCUUGCUCUGUCGCCCAGGCUGGAGUGCAGUGGCCCCGAUCUCGGCUCACCGCAAGCUCCGCCUCGCGGGUUCAUGCCAUUCUCCGCCUGGGCAACAUAGUGAGACUCUGUCUCAAAUAAAUAAAUAAAGUGAGGAGAAAAAAAUACCAUCUCUGUCUUCACAGAACUUAUAGUUUGAGAGGGGAGAAUCCCACAAGUAAAUUAUAAAUCUCAGCUGAGAUUAUGCAAAGAAGCAAAGGCCGGACGUGGUGGCUCACGCCUGUAAUCCCAGCACUUUGGGAGGCCGAGACGGGCGGAUCAUGAGGUCAGGAGAUUGAGACCAUCCUGGCUAACACGGUGAAACCCUGUCUCUACUAAAAAUACAAAAAAAUUAGCUGGGCGUGGUGGCGGGCGUCUGUAGUUCCAGCUACUCGGGAGGCUGAGGCAGGAGGAUGGCGUGAACCCAGGAGCACAGGUUGCAGUGAGCCGAGAUGGCGCCACUGCACUCCAGCCUGGGCGACAGAGCGAGACUCUGUCUCAAAAAAAAAAAAAAAAAAGGAAGCAAAGUGCCCAGCUGGGAUGGUGGUUUCAGAGGCCACAGUGGGAGCUUCCCAGAGAAGGGAUGAUUGAGCUAAGUCUAAGCAAAAGGGGUGGUCAGGGCAGCAGCUGCUCCAAAACAGGGGCUGGGGGCUUAUGUGGAGAGAGAAGACAUGGAGAGACCAUGCCCAGAAGGAGGCGGCGGCUUCAGUGAACAGUGCAGGGGAGCAGGUCCGAGGAGGCCGCCUACCAGGGGAAGGAGUCUCAUCUCCAUCCUAGACAAAAAAAGGAUCUUUUGAGAUGCAUUAAGCAGGGGAGUCACAGAUUGGAUUUGUGUUUUGAGAAUCUCCUGCUUACCUAGAGAAGAAGGGCAUCUCCUGGGCCCUCACUGUUGCCUUAAAUGAUUUUUAUUGUGUAUUACUUAAACAUGUGCAAGCAUAAAAUGAGAUAUAAACUCCUUGUAGCUCUUAUACAAGCAUCAGACCAAGACAAAUUGACCCAUCACGUACAAAAUCGAUUCAAAUCAGAUUAAUUUUAUGUGACAUGUUAUUAUGCCUUUUGUCUGAAACCCUGCCACCACCCACAGUGCAAUUAUGGCCCAACCACUGUGGUGUUCUGAAUUUGUGGGACAGAGAAUAUUGGCCUUUUAAACACGUGCAUGCAUGCAUUUGCGUGUGCGCACACACACACAUCCCAAAUGAUUUUUUCCCACUAUAUAUGAAGAACUCCUACAAACCAAAAAGAAAAAGGCAGACAAUUCAAGAGAAAAAUGGGGGAGGGCUUGCAUUAAAGUACUUCAUAACAAGAGUACUUAGGAGGCCAACAAAUACACGAAAAGCUGCUAGCUUCAUGACUCAUGGGGGUGGCUUGGUCAGUUCAGGAUACUGUAACAAAAUACCUUAGACUGGGAAAUUUAUAAACAACGGAAUUUAUUGCUCACAGUUCUGGAGGCUGGGAAGUCCAAGAUCAAGGCAGCAGUAGAUCCGGUGCCUGAGCCCGUUCCCUGCUUCAAACAUGGCACCUUCUUGCUGUAUCCUCACAUGGUGGAAGGGGGAAGACAGUUCUCUGGGGCCUCUUUUAUAAGGGCAGUUAUCCAAUUCACAAGGAUAGAGCCCUCAUGACCUAAUCACCUUUCAAAGAUCCCCAUCUUCUAACACCUUCUAACACCAUCACCUUGGUGAUUAGGUCUUUUUGUUGUUGUUGUUGUUGAGAUGGACUCUCACUCUGUUGCCUAGGCUGGAGUGCAGUGGCGUAAUCUUGGUUCACUGCAACCUCUGCCUCCCGGGCUGAAGUGAUUAUCCUGUCUCAGCCUCCCAAGUGGCUGGGAUUACAGGCGUGUGCCACCAUGCCCGGCUAAUUUUCAUAUUUUUAGUAGAGACAGGGUUUCACCAUGUUGGUCAGGCUGGUCUCGAACUCCUGACCUCAUGAUCCGCCCACUUCGUCCUCCCAAAAUGCUGGGAUUACAGGCAUGAGCCACUGCACCCAGCCGAUUAAGUCUUAACGUAUGAGUUUUUGGGAGAAACUCAAACAUUCGGACAAUAGCAAGGAGAAUACAAAACCACAGUGAGCUACCGCUUCAGACACCAGAGAAGUUUAAGUGAAAAAGACUGGCAAUACCAAGUGCUGAUGAGGAUAUGGAGCAACCAGAACUCUCAGACAUUGCUGAUGGGAAUCUAAAUUAGUAUAACCACCACGAAAGCAUCCGUAAGGUUUAAUUGUGUUGAACACACCCUGCCCUCUGACCAAGCAUUUCCACUCCUGGGCAUACAGGCAAAAGAAAUGCAUCCACGUGUUCAUCAAAAGAUGUAACCUGUGCCAGGUGAGGUGGUUCAUGCCUGUAAUCCCAGCACAUCGGGAGGCCAAGGAGGGAGGAUUGCUUGAGCCCAGAAGUUCGAGAGCAGCCUAGGCAACAAGGCAAAACCUCGUCUCUACUAAAAAGUAGCCAGGCAUGAUGGUAUAUGCCUGUAGUCCCAGCUACUCAGGAGGCCAAGGCAUGCAGAUUGAUUGAACCCGGAAGGUGGAGGCUACAGUGAAUUGUGAUCUCGCCACUGCACUCCAGCCUGGGUGACAGAGCAAGAUCUUGUCUCAAUUAAAAAAAAAGGAAGAAAGAAAGACAUAACCUGGAAUAUUCACACCAACACUAUUCAGGAUAGCCCUAAACUGGAAAGAAUCUGAAUAUCCUCCGGCUUUAGAACAGAGAGAAAUUAUAGACUAUUCAUUCAUACAGGGGAUGAUUGAUCAGCUUUAAGAAUAAACAAACCGUACACAACAAUAUAGAUGAAUCUACAACCUUAAUGUGCAAAAUAGUUCACAUAUAUAAAGGACAAAAACAGGCAAAACUACUCCAUGGUGUUAGAAAUAGGGGUAGAGGUUACCCUCAUGCGGCAGGAGGGUUAGUGAUAGGGGAUUUGGAAGAGGAGGAGCCCAAUGGACUGAACAGCUGAGCUGGAAACAGCAAUUUGUUCCUUAAAGUUCUGAACCCAACUGUUAUCCAGCAUGGAGUCUGUCUGGAGAGGCCAGAUGUGGGGCCUCUCACAGGGGAAUGAGAAGUGCCUCUCAGGGUCCCACCCAUGAUCCCCCUUUCCUUGCCCACACAACCACCAACUGGCAAGUAGUAACCCAGGACCUGUAGCCCCCACUGGCUUGACACAGAGCAUAAUGCAAGCUUUUCCUGCUCCAGGUCCUGGACACCACUUUGCCCUUUGCCCCACACGUACAGCCCCCUGACCAAAAGCUGGGUACUCUGGCUUGACUAGAGGGAGCUAGACUCCAGGAAUAAGUAAGGAGCUGGGCUUCCACGCUAGAGAACAAGAGCUUCUCUGGGGAAAGGGGCUUCCCAUGAAGCCCUGGGGCACUGGGAGAUUAAUGGGCAGACCUCUGGCCUCAGCUUCCAGGGAAGGGGAGGGUGUGGGCCAACAUGCGGUGGCUACACUGACCACAAGCCGAUGACCCCAGCCAGCCUCAGGAUGUCUCAGCUCUAGGCAUGGUUUUUCGUUUUGUUUUGUCGUGUUUUGUUUUUGAGAUGGAACCUCGCUCUGUCGCCUAGGCUGGAGUGAAGUGGCACCAUCUCGUCUCCCUGCAACCUCCACCUCCUGGGUUCAAGCGAUUCUCCUGCCUCAGCCUCCUGAGUAGCUGAGAUUACAUGUGCGUGCCACCUUGCCCAGCUAAUUUUUGUAUUUUUAGUAGAGAUAGGGUUUCAUCAUGUUAGCUAGGCUGGUCUCAAACUCCUGACCUCAAGUGAUCUGCCUGCCUCAGCCUCCCAAAGUGCAAGGAUUACAGGCAUGAGCCACCAUGCCCGGCAUAGGCAUGGUUUUGACAAUCUGUCUCUUUGUGCCCUGGCUCCUUCUCCAACUCCUCUUUGGAGGAGGCACAGGAGGAGGGGUCAUUUCACUGUUCCUGAAAAGUAGACAUAUAACCUACAUGCAACUGCCAGGUGAUAAGGGCCCCAUCUGUCUGGCAUGACGUUGGAGGUCCACAAAGGCUGAUUAGAUGAAUGCUCAGCUCUGGGGCCUCCCCACAGAGCUCACAGACAGGCGUGAAGGAAAGCAGGACUCUUAUUAGAAUAUGUUCAGAGUUUUCACUGAAGAAGCCUCCUGUGUGGGCCAGGCACUGUGCUCAGUGCUUUGAUUCACAGUCUCAUUUAAUUCUCACCAUUUACAGACAAGAAUUCAGCUAAGAUCCUUUUCAAUCAAGUCUGGCAAUAUCUGCCUUUCAAUGGCAGUGCCUAGUCCUUUCAUAUGUAAUAUACUUAUCAUUAUGGGUGGGUUUAAGUUUUAUCAUCUUGCUAUUUGUUAUCUAUUUGUCCCCCCUCUUUUGUUCCUCCUUUACUGCCUUCUAUUUGGUUGAGACUUAAUAAAAUAUUUUAUUCCAUCUUCUCUACUUACUUUUUAGCUAUGCCUCCUUAUAUUUUUGGUUGCUGGAGUGUUACAAUAUGCAUUCUUCAAUAUCCAGUCUACUUUCCAAUAAUAUUACACCACUUCAUGUAUAACGUAAGAACGUUACAAAAAUAUAAUGCCAGGGCUGGGCGCAGUGGCUCACGCCUGUAAUCCCAGCACUUUGGGAGGUCGAGGCGGGCAGCUCACCUGAGGUCAGGAGUUCGAGACCAGCCUGACCAACAUGGAGGAACCCCAUCUCUACUAAAAAUACAAAAUUAGCCGGGCAUGGUGGCUCAUGCCUGUAAUCCCAGCUACUCAGGAGGCUGAGGCAGGAGAGUUGCUUGAACCGGGGAGGUGGAAGUUGCAAUGAGCCAAGAUUGCGCCGUUGCACCCCACACUGGGCAACAAGAGCGAAACUCCGUCUCAAUAAAUAAAUAAAUUAAAUAAACAAAUAUAUAUAUAUAUAUAUAUGUAAUGCCAUCACAUCUUCUCCGGCCUUUGGUGUUAUUGUGGUCAUAUACUUUAUUUUUGUAUGUCUUAUAGAUCCCAG